rnacentral:tmRNA from 2 species
GGGGGCGACCUGGCUUCGACGGGGAUUACAAAACCUAAGGUGCAUGCCGAGUACUUCAGUUCUCUCGUAAAAAAGACUGGAAUUAAAUUAGUUGCUAACGAUAACAACUACGCACUAGCUGCUUAAUAACCAGUGAAUGCCGUUCGACCAGAUCCGUGCUUGUGCGUCUGGUAUCGGGCGUCGACUCUCACAAGAUCGUCUCGAGGUAUGCUUGGUACUAAGAGAUUAAAACCUUACAAGAUCGCUACUUGUUUUCCCUGUUCAUCGGGUAGCAGGUAGUUAAAUUAAUAGAUGAAAUAAGCAUGUAGAUCCGAAGGCGGAGGAUCUGCGGACGCGGGUUCGAUUCCCGCCGCCUCCACCA